rnacentral:rRNA from 1 species
UUAUUGGGCGUAAAGAGCUCGUAGGCGGUUUGUCGCGUCUGCCGUGAAAGUCCGGGGCUCAACUCCGGAUCUGCGGUGGGUACGGGCAGACUAGAGUGAUGUAGGGGAGACUGGAAUUCCUGGUGUAGCGGUGAAAUGCGCAGAUAUCAGGAGGAACACCGAUGGCGAAGGCAGGUCUCUGGGCAUUAACUGACGCUGAGGAGCGAAAGCAUGGGGAGCGAACAGGAUUAGAUACCCUGGUAGUCCAUGCCGUAAACGUUGGGCACUAGGUGUGGGGGACAUUCCACGUUUUCCGCGCCGUAGCUAACGCAUUAAGUGCCCCGCCUGGGGAGUACGGCCGCAAGGCUAAAACUCAAAGGAAUUGACGGGGGCCCGCACAAGCGGCGGAGCAUGCGGAUUAAUUCGAUGCAACGCGAAGAACCUUACCAAGGCUUGACAUGAACUAGUAAGGCGCAGAAAUGCGUCCCCCUCUUGAGGCUGGUUUACAGGUGGUGCAUGGUUGUCGUCAGCUCGUGUCGUGAGAUGUUGGGUUAAGUCCCGCAACGAGCGCAACCCUCGUUCUAUGUUGCCAGCACGUGAUGGUGGGGACUCAUAGGAGACUGCCGGGGUCAACUCGGAGGAAGGUGGGGACGACGUCAAAUCAUCAUGCCCCUUAUGUCUUGGGCUUCACGCAUGCUACAAUGGCCGGUACAAAGGGUUGCGAUACUGUGAGGUGGAGCUAAUCCCAAAAAGCCGGUCUCAGUUCGGAUUGGGGUCUGCAACUCGACCCCAUGAAGUCGGAGUCGCUAGUAAUCGCAGAUCAGCAACGCUGCGGUGAAUACGUUCCCGGGCCUUGUACACACCGCCCGUCAAGUCACGAAAGUUGGUAACACCCGAAGCCGGUGGCCUAACCCCUUGUGGGAGGGAGCUUCGAAGGUUUG